CCAGACUCCUACGGGAGGCAGCAGUGAGGAAUAUUGGUCAAUGGGCGAGAGCCUGAACCAGCCAAGUCGCGUGAGGGAGUACUGCCCUAUGGGUUGUAAACCUCUUUUGUCGGGGAGCAAAGAGAGUCACGUGUGGCUCAUUGAGAGUACCCGAAGAAAAAGCAUCGGCUAACUCCGUGCCAGCAGCCGCGGUAAUACGGAGGAUGCGAGCGUUAUCCGGAUUUAUUGGGUUUAAAGGGUGCGCAGGCGGAGGUGCAAGUCAGUGGUCAAAUUGCGGGGCUCAACCCCGUCCUGCCGUUGAAACUGCAUCCCUUGAGUGCGCGAGAAGUAUGCGGAAUGCGUGGCGUAGCGGUGAAAUGCAUAGAUAUCACGCAGAACUCCGAUUGCGAAGGCAGCAUACCGGCGCCCUACUGACGCUGAGGCACGAAAGCGUGGGUAUCGAACAGGAUUAGAUACCCCGGUA
rnacentral:rRNA from 1 species